AUUAAGCAUAGUUGUGGGUUUCAGUGUCCAACGUUUGACCGUCCGUCUUGUUUGAAUUUUUUCUAGAUUAGUAUUUUUUAUUAGAUGAUAAAACAAGAAUAGUACUUUAUGCGUGACUUAAUUUUUAAUUUUUUUCAUAAAUUUUUAAAUAAGACAAAUGAUCAAAUGUUGGACACGGAAACUUAUGGUUACACUUAAA
rfam:Oryza glumipatula chromosome 2, whole genome shotgun sequence.